rnacentral:rRNA from 1 species
UACAGAGGUCCCAAGCGUUGUUCGGAUUCACUGGGCGUAAAGGGUGCGUAGGCGGCCCGGUAAGUCCGCUGUGAAAGUCAAAGGCUCAACCUUUGAAUGUCAGCGGAUACUGCCGGGCUAGAGUCCGGAAGAGGCGAGUGGAAUUCCUGGUGUAGCGGUGGAAUGCGCAGAUAUCAGGAGGAACACCAACGGCGAAGGCAGCUCGCUGGGACGGUACUGACGCUGAGGCGCGAAAGCGUGGGGAGCGAACAGG